rnacentral:rRNA from 1 species
GACAGAGGGUGCAAACGUUGUUCGGAAUUACUGGGCGUAAAGCGUGUGUAGGUGGCCGCGCAAGUCGGAUGUGAAAGCCCUGGGCUCAACUCAGGAAGUGCACCCGAUACUGCGUGGCUCGAGUACCGGAGAGGUUGGUGGAAUUCUCGGUGUAGAGGUGAAAUUCGUAGAUAUCGAGAGGAACACCCGUGGCGAAGGCGGCCCCCUGGGCUGAACCUGACGCUGAGGCGCGAAGGCUAGGGGAGCGAACGGG